rnacentral:rRNA from 1 species
CCUACGGGUGGCAGCAGUGGGGGAUAUUGCACAAUGGGGGAAACCCUGAUGCAGCGACGCCGCGUGGGUGAAGAAGUAUUUCGGUAUGUAAAGCCCUAUCAGCAGGGAAGAAAGAAGACGGUACCUGACUAAGAAGCCCCGGCUAACUACGUGCCAGCAGCCGCGGUAAUACGUAGGGGGCGAGCGUUAUCCGGAUUCACUGGGUGUAAAGGGAGCGUAGACGGCCGUGCAAGCCAGGAGUGAAAGCCCGGGGCCCAACCCCGGGACUGCGCUUGGAACUGUGCGGCUGGAGUGCGGGAGGGGCAGGCGGAAUUCCUGGUGUAGCGGUGAAAUGCGUAGAUAGCAGGAGGAACACCGGCGGCGAAGGCGGCCUGCUGGACCGCGACUGACGUUGAGGCUCGAAAGCGUGGGGAGCGAACAGGAUUAGAUACCCGAGUAGUC